rnacentral:rRNA from 1 species
UACGGGGGGGGCAAGCGUUGUUCGGAAUUACUGGGCGUAAAGGGUGCGUAGGCGGCGCGGUAAGUCGGGUGUGAAAUCUCGGAGCUCAACUCCGAAAUUGCACUGGAUACUGCUCUGCGUUGAGGGUUGGAGAGAGAUCGAAUUCGACGGUGUAGCAGUGAAAUGCGUAGAUAUCGUGAGGAAGACCAGUGGCGAAGGCGGAUCUCUGGACAAAUCCUGACGCUGAGGCGCGAAGGCUAGGGGAGCAAACGGG